rnacentral:tRNA from 1 species
GAGGGUAAAGCUCAAGUGGUAGAGUGCAUGCUUAGCAUGCAUGAGGUCCUGGGUUCAGUUCCACAGUACUCCCU